AACCUGGUUGAUCCUGCCAGUAGUCAUAUGCUUGUCUUAAAGAUUAAGCCAUGCAUGUCUAAGUAUAAGCAUUUAUACCGCGAGACUGCGAACGGCUCAUUAAAACAGUUAUGGUUUAUUUGAUGGUUCCUUUGCUACUUGGAUAACCGUAGUAAUUCUAGAGCUAAUACAUGCACGAAGGGGCGACUCACGAAGCCCUGUAUUUAUUAGAUUAAAGCCAACCACCUCCGGGUGUUCGUGGUGAAUCAUAGUAACUUCUCGGAUCGCCGGCUCAACGCCAGCGACGUGUCAUUCAAAUUUCUGCCCUAUCAGCUUUAGAUGGUAGGAUAUGGGCCUACCAUGGCGGUGACGGGUAACGGAGAAUUAGGGUUCGAUUCCGGAGAGGGAGCCUGAGAAACGGCUACCACUUCUAAGGAAGGCAGCAGGCGCGCAAAUUACCCAAUCCUGACUCAGGGAGGUAGUGACAAGAAAUAACAAUAAACCGGCUUAUGCCGGUUUAAUUGGAAUGAGUACAAUUUAAACAUCUUAACGAGGAACAAUUGGAGGGCAAGUCUGGUGCCAGCAGCCGCGGUAAUUCCAGCUCCAAUAGC
rnacentral:rRNA from 1 species